GACGAAGGAUGCAAGCGUUAUCCGGAUUCAUUGGGCUUAAAGGGAGCGUAGGUGGUCUUAUAAGUCAGUGGUGAAAUCUCUGGGCUUAACCCAGAAAUUGCCAUUGAUACUGUAGGACUUGAGUAUAGUUGCCGUUGGCGGAAUAUGACAUGUAGUGGUGAAAUACAUAGAGAUGUCAUAGAACACCGAUUGCGAAGGCAGCUAACGAAACUAUAACUGACACUGAGGCUCGAAAGUGUGGGGAUCAAACAGG
rnacentral:rRNA from 1 species